rnacentral:rRNA from 1 species
GAUUCCUACGGGAGGCAGCAGUAGGGAAUCUUCCGCAAUGGACGAAAGUCUGACGGAGCAACGCCGCGUGAGUGAUGAAGGCUUUCGGGUCGUAAAACUCUGUUGUUAGGGAAGAACAAGUGCUAGUUGAAUAAGCUGGCACCUUGACGGUACCCAACCAGAAAGCCACGGCUAACUACGUGCCAGCAGCCGCGGUAAU